ensembl:lncRNA
CUGACACAGACACAGCUGCUCUGCGGCCUCAACUCCUUAAUACUGAGAAGAAGAAAAAACAUUAAAAUACAACAAACUUCACAAAACAUUUGACUUUAUCAAACAAAUAACAGCUUUAAUUCUUAAGAUUUAGUAGAUUUUAAAUAAUCAUUUUAACAUACUAAGCUUUUUAUCCAAUUCCUCUGAAACAAGACCCAACAAAUCAGCCAAUCAGACUCUCAGAUAACUAUCAGCAACCCAUAUCUACUGUAUUGAAACGGUGAGGUCUCCCAUCCCAAAUGCAGUAUGUGGCUCACACUGUUGGCCCUUCUGACUCUGUGUGCCACGGGAAGAAGCACUGAAAAUGUCUCAGAAAGCAGCCCUGAGAAAGAACAGCUUGUUAUAGCCAGAGGAAAACUUUUGGUUGUUCCUGUGAAGAAGAUGAAGGCAGAUGAGAUCAGCAGUUUGUUGGAUUCUCUGGGUUUCUAUAAAAGGUCACAGUAAGGCGAGGAGGUCCCUGAGGAGGUCAAACAUUUGCCUUUAAACGCGCCUCGGGACGAACUGUGACCCCCGCUGGUCAGCGCCGGAACUGCAGCCCGCCGCCAAUGACGCGCAGAGUCUCAACGCUCAGAAACACGACUCUGUAAUCACACACACAUUUACAAUAAACUUCUUACAUCUUUGGCGUGGUGGCA